rnacentral:rRNA from 1 species
AGGGACGAAGAUCUUCGGAUUGUAAACCUCUUUUGUAUGGGAAGAACGUCCGCAAGGACUUGACGGUACCAUACGAAUAAGCCACGGCUAACUACGUGC